ensembl:lncRNA
GGGCUUUGGACCACUACUGGCUGUAAGCAAAUGACUGAUGCGCAUUUGGAGUAAUACUGGCUGUAUCCAAGGCUCAGUCAAUCAGUCACAUUACAACAGAAUGCAGCAUGCGACUGAAGAGAGAAGAGACAACCAGCAGUUACAGCAUCAGCGCUCGCUCUGGAAAGACAGCAGCGUGUGGAAAGGCAGUUUGCCAGUUACAGCAGCGCGUCCCCUGAACGAUAACGAAGAGAGUGAUCUUCCUUGCCCUCAUCACAUGUCUCGGUGGCUCCUCCUACUUUUUCAUCAUCGCAGUCAUUACAGUUUGGGAGGGGGUCAGCCCCCACAAUCAUUGCUAAAGAUCGAACUUCAGACUCUCCCCAAAACAACCGAACCCCACAACAAACCGAAAGAGAUUUAAGGUGCACACCCCUAAAGAGGUAGCCAGAACAGGAUAACUCCCUCCAAGCUCACAAAGACACAGGAGCAGGAACUAUCUGACACAGUGGAGGAGGAAUUAUCCAACACCCAGGGAGAGAGAACGAGUGACCUCAGUCGAACACAGACAGUAGGGAGAGGUGGGAGAGGAGGAGGUUACCCCAGAUGCCAUUCCUCCUGCUCAUGUGAGCAAGCAAAGAGAUGACAAGCCUUCUGAUCAGGCCAACAGGCAGGCCGAGGGAGUAGUCAUAGUGAUUCACACCCACAGAGAGAAAGACAACCCACACAACCUAUUGGCUGAGAUGAACCACACAGAGUUAGAGGCAGAGGGCUUUCAGGGCUAGUCAGUCAGCCAGCCUGCUCUGAUCCUCAAGUCAGUUGUAUUUAAAUUCAUGUUCAUUGAAGAUUUUUAUUCAUGAUUUGAAAAGUCCCAUUUACUUAAUGAUAUAUUUUCACUGUCUGCAACCCUCAAGAACCAGGGUGAGUCUGGGUCACCCUUUUCCUGGGCAAACUCAACGUACAUAUUGUCUUAGAUUAGGCAAAAAUGUUCAUCUUUUAACCUUGCUUGAAUAAAGCAAUGCAUUUUUUAUAGUGCGCAAGAGUUGCACUUUUUCCUUUUCUAUUGUAACGGUUUUCUUUAGGUGAAGUAGAGGCGGACCAAAACGCAGCGUGAUUAUAUUGAUUCAUGUUUAAUAAACAAAGAUAAACAU